AUACCGAGAGCUUGAGGGGACACGCUGACGGGGCCCAGACGGAGACCACCGCUGCCUGGCUCUUCGGGCAUCUGGGAGACCAAUGUGGAAGGAGUGGUUGAAUAAUGGAUAGACUGAUUUAAAAACAUAGCGUUGGCCAGCAUGGAGAGGUAGAGCAGGGCCAUGCACGCAGACAGCCGCUGGACCCGCGUGAAGCGAGACCGAGGUGACCGCAGGAAGAUGCUGAACCAAAGGUGGUCGUCGGCAAAAUUCUUCUGUACCGUCUUGCCAAACACGUGGGAAUAGUCCUUCAGCUGCUGCUCUCCCGCCACGGCCACCAGGCGGUCCACCUAUGCACACGUGUGUCAGGAGAAGUCGAUGGUGUUUGGGGUGACGAAGAAACCCGACCCAAAGGAGGUGAGGUGGUUGCAAGCACAGACUGUGAUGGAGGAGUUGGCAGCCAUGACCUGUGUGAUGCGAGGGACUUCAGAGGCCUUUACUUUAAGUGUUUCAGUGACUGGUAAGUCUUUUCCACCCACUGUGCAUCCAUCGCUGCUCCAAGUCAGCCUCUCGUUGUCAAAGAAGAGGCAGGACGAGACGAAGGUGCUGAAGUAAUAUGGAGAGGAGAAGUUUGUGUGGUAGCUGAAGAGGUCGCACCAGCACCGUCACAGCCACUCGGGGGGCAGGCACGUGCAGGUUGUGAAGACUCAGGGCCAUUCUGGAGGACACCUGCGGCUCUGGGGAUUAGAUGAUGAUAUGCACUGUAGCUGUGCAGGAUUUAGAGUAAUUGUAAGUGGAGUGAAUUACAAUGCUGCAAGAACAAAAUGAUCUGUGCUUAGUUUUAAAGUUAUGGAGUAAUUGCAAGUGGACUGAGAUAUGGUAGAGCAAGGACAAGGGAACAUGUGGCUAUUUUGGGUCUGGAUUUAAUGUUAUACUUUUAAAUUCAGACAUGGGAACACAUGAGGAAGAUUACAUGGUAGUGCCUAGACCCAAAAGAAAGUCCUGUUUUUCUGCAUGGCUGCAUGACUCACAAAACCUUGCUGCACUGUGACUUGAUAGGAGGUUAAGGCUCUGAUAAAACACUGACUGAGAGGGGCAGUAAUAGCUAGUGUGUGUAUACAAGGUUUGUCGUGUAUGAAGAAUUUAGGAUGGCAAGAAAGUGUAUGGAGACUUAAAAUAAACAAGGAGGAUAAUGAAGAAAGUGUAUAGAGACUUAAAAAUUAACAAACUUAUUAUGAUGUCUGAAAAAUGAACAAACUUAUUAUAUCUGAAAAAUGAACAAACUUAUGUUAUCAGGAAAACUAACAGACCUAUUACAGUAUCUGAAAAUGAACACUUAUGGUAUCUGGUAUGUGUACUUUGCAUUUCCGUAACAUUGCCAACACACUA